AGAGAGAGAGAGAGAGAGAUGGAAUUCUCCGGCGAUGGAUUUGAUGUGGUGGUUGUCGGUGCAGGCAUCAUGGGCAGCUCCACUGCCUAUGAACUAGCAAAAAGAGGUCAAAAAACUCUUCUGCUAGAGCAAUUCGACUUCUUGCACCACCGUGGAUCAUCACACGGCGAGUCACGUACAAUACGAGCAACAUACCCGGAGGACUACUACUGUGCCAUGGCCAAGGAAUCCUUCGCACUAUGGGAGGAAGCCCAGUUAGAAAUCGGCUUCAAGGUUUAUUUCAAAGCCCAGCAGUUCGAUAUGGGGCCAUCAGAUAAUAAAAGUCUGCUUUCAGUUAUCUCCAGCUGCCAGAAAAACUCGGUUCCUUAUCAGGUUCUCGACCGGCAACAAGUGGAAGAGAAAUUUUCCGGCAGAAUUAAACUGCCGGAGAACUGGAUUGGGGUAUGUAGUGAGCUUGGUGGAGUAAUAAAACCCACAAAGGCAGUAUCAAUGUUCCAAGCGCUGGCAUUACGAAAGGGUGCAAUUUUAAGGGACAAUAUACAAGUCGAUAACAUAGUUAAGGAUGAGGUGAAAGGAGGGGUAUGGGUGUCCUCUGCUAAUGGUGAAAAGUUUUUGGCUAAAAAAUGUGUCAUUACGGCCGGGGCUUGGGCCAGAAAGCUUGUUAAAACAGUCAACGGCCUUGAAUUACCCAUUCAAGCUUUGGAGACUACAGUAUGUUACUGGAGGAUUAAGGAAGGCCAUGAGGCUGACUUUGCUAUAGGAGGUGAUUUUCCUACAUUUGCUAGCUACGGCCAGCCUUACAUAUACGGCACACCGUCUUUAGAGUUUCCGGGUUUGAUCAAGAUUGCUGUGCACGGCGGUUACCCGUGUGAUCCGGACAAAAGACCAUGGGGCCCUGGCCUAUCGUUAAGUUCUUUGAAGGAAUGGAUUGAAGGAAGAUUUUCAGGGCUUGUUGAUUACGGCGGGCCAGUUGCUACUCAAUUGUGCAUGUACUCCAUGACCCCAGACGAAGAUUAUGUCAUAGAUUUUCUAGGAGGGGAGUUUGGGAUGGACGUGGUCAUCGGCGGUGGGUUUUCAGGUCAUGGGUUCAAGAUGGCGCCAGUGGUGGGAAGGAUUUUAUCGGACAUGGCCCUGUGUGGGGAGGCUAAAGGAGUGGACCUCAAGUACUUCAGGAUUCAAAGAUUUCAACAGAAUCCUAAAGGGAAUGUGAAGGACUUCGAAGACCAAGUUGGUUUUUCUUCCAAUCACAAGUAGAAUGUAUAUUUAUCCAAAUUCAUUCCCCAGUCGAUGUAUUAAUAGGAAAUUUAUAGCCAUUUGUAUCUUAUCUUCUACGAUGAUGUGUUCUCUCCUCUCUCCAUCAAAAUUGAACCCUUGAAUUCAAUAUUCAAAAGACCACUGCACAAGUAUCGUACAGAGUCAAAUUCCAAUGAUAGAGAGUCAAAUUCAAAUGAUCUCAACUGCUAAUUUCCUUGAAUUGUUUAUUCAGAAUUAACAAAUUUCCAGAAGUUU
rnacentral:misc_RNA from 1 species